rnacentral:rRNA from 1 species
ACCUACGGGGGGCAGCAGUAGGGAAUCUUCCACAAUGGGCGAAAGCCUGAUGGAGCAACGCCGCGUGGGUGAAGAAGGUCUUCGGAUCGUAAAACCCUGUUGUUAGAGAGGAAAGUGCGUGAGAGUAACUGUUCACGUUUCGACGGUAUCUAACCAGAAAGCCACGGCUAACUACGUGCCAGCAGCCGCGGUAAUACGUAGGUGGCAAGCGUUAUCCGGAUUUAUUGGGCGUAAAGGGAAAGCAGGCGGUCUUUUAAGUCUGAUGUGAAAGCCUUCGGAUUAACAGGAGUAGUGCAUUGGAAACU